rnacentral:rRNA from 1 species
AAUCAACGCUGGCGGCGUGCCUAACACAUGCAAGUCGAACGCGAGAGGGGGCUUCGGCCCCAAUUGAGUGGCGAACGGGUGAGUAACACGUGGGUGAUCUACCUUUGAGUGGGGGAUAACGUUCCGAAAGGAACGCUAAUACCGCAUGACGUUCCGGGUUUGAAGACCUGGAAACCAAAGCCGGGGCCCUUAGGGAAACUUAAGGCCUGGCGCUUGGAGAGGAGCCCGCGCCUGAUUAGCUAGUUGGUGGGGUAACGGCNCACCAAGGCGACGAUCAGUAGCCGGCCUGAGAGGGCGGACGGCCACACUGGGACUGAGACACGGCCCAGACUCCUACGGGAGGCAGCAGUGGGGAAUAUUGCACAAUGGGCGAAAGCCUGAUGCAGCGACGCCGCGUGAGGGAUGACGGCCUGGUU